rnacentral:rRNA from 1 species
UACGUAGGGGGCAAGCGUUGUCCGGAAUUAUUGGGCGUAAAGAGCUCGUAGGCGGUUCGUCGCGUCGGCUGUGAAAACCUGAGGCUCAACCUCAGGCCUGCAGUCGAUACGGGCGGACUUGAGUACUGCAGGGGAGACUGGAAUUCCUGGUGUAGCGGUGAAAUGCGCAGAUAUCAGGAGGAACACCGGUGGCGAAGGCGGGUCUCUGGGCCGUAACUGACGCUGAGGAGCGAAAGCGUGGGGAGCGAACAGG